AGUGAACGCUGGCGGUAGGCCUAACACAUGCAAGUCGAACGGCAGCACAGUAAGAGCUUGCUCUUACGGGUGGCGAGUGGCGGACGGGUGAGGAAUAAAUCGGAAUCUACUUUUUCGUGGGGGAUAACGUAGGGAAACUUACGCUAAUACCGCAUACGACCUACGGGUGAAAGAAGGGGAUCUUCGGACCUUGCGCGAUUGAAUGAGCCUAUGUCGGAUUAGCUAGUUGGCGGGGUAAAGGCCCACCAAGGCGACGAUCCGUAGCUGGUCUGAGAGGAUGAUCAGCCACACUGGAACUGAGACACGGUCCAGACUCCUACGGGAGGCAGCAGUGGGGAAUAUUGGACAAUGGGCGCAAGCCUGAUCCAGCCAUACCGCGUGGGUGAAGAAGGCCUUCGGGUUGUAAAGCCCUUUUGUUGGGAAAGAAAAGCAGCAGGUUAAUACCCCGCUGUUCUGACGGUACCCAAAGAAUAAGCACCGGCUAACUUCGUG
rnacentral:rRNA from 1 species